GCCACCUAUUUGUUUUUUUUACUCAGCGCGGACGGAAUCGUGGGCGACAGAUAGUUUAAUCAAAAAACGUGCGAAGAAUUCACGUAUGAAUGAUAGCCUCUGAAAACCAUUAACCAGAUCCAGAUUUGUAGUAGAAGGGAUCCAAAGCCACUGACUUGACAACUCUGCUUAAAGUCAGGCUAUAUCUUGUUAACGGCGAUAGCGUGCGCUUGCAAGUCUUUCUGAUUGUUACCUUGCGAAAAUGGCACAGUGUUCCCUUCGUGGUCAAGGAG